ACCAGAAGGCAAUGCCGCGUGAGCGAAGAAGGUCUUCGGAUUGUAAAGCUCUGUUGCCGGGGGAAAAAGGAAGGAAAGAGGAAAUGCUUUUCUUUGGAUGGUACCCGGCCAGAAAGUCACGGCUAACUACGUGCC
rnacentral:rRNA from 1 species